GAUGAAGAACGUAGCGAAAUGCGAUAAGUAAUGUGAAUUGCAGAAUUCAGUGAAUCAUCGAGUCUUUGAACGCACAUUGCGCCCCCUGGUAUUCCGGGGGGCAUGCCUGUCCGAGCGUCAUUGCUGCCCUCAAGCACGGCUUGUGUGUUGGGCCGUCGUCCCCCUCCUAGGGGACGGGCCCGAAAGGCAGCGGCGGCACCGCGUCCGGUCCUCGAGCGUAUGGGGCUUCGUCACCCGCUCCGUAGGCCCGGCCGGCGCUUGCCGACGACCAUCAAUCUCUUUCUCCAGGUUGACCUCGGAUCAGGUAGGGAUACCCGCUGAACUUAAGCAUAUCAAUAAGCGGAGGGA
rnacentral:misc_RNA from 1 species